CCUAUAGAAUUCCGACUCUAUGACUUAAUGGUUGGAGAGAGACUACUCAUUUUCCCAGUCACUUGGUAUUUGUCACUAUUUUCUGAAGCUGAGCGGUCUGAGUUCAACAUGAGGCAGGACCUGCUGCUGUGACAAUGGAGGGCUGGAGUGAGGGCGCGUUGGUGAAUCGCCUGCCAACCCUGAAGCUCUGUGCCACCUCUGAGCACUCAGCACCAUUCCUGUGAGCCAGUGACAGGAAGAAACAGCUAGGGCUCACUGUCACGACCAGACUGCAGAUGAAAAACAGAAAGUAUGCAAACAAGACUGCCAGCUUCUCCCCAGAUAGGCCUAGCAAAAAGCCAUGAACACUGACAGAGUUUUGGUAAUCACUGUGAAAUAUUGGAACAUAUUUGGAUGGCCAGAAAAAGGAGGUUUCUCGACAUUCUUUUUCACUGUGGAAUCUGUUUCCUGAGCCAUUGCAGCCACUGAACCAAAAGCGAGCGCAAGAGUUGACCUGUU